rnacentral:lncRNA from 10 species
UUAUUAUUGAAGAAAAAUUAUGUUUAGUGUAGUCUAAGUGUACAAUGUUUAUAAAGUCUAUAGUAGUGUACAGUAAUGUCCUAGGCCUUCACAUUCAUUCACCACUUACACCCAAAAUAACUUUGAGUUCUACCAGCUCCAUUAAUGGUAAGUACUUACUAUGAUUUGAGUGACCCCCAAUGUGGCAGUAUUAAGAGGUGGGGCCCUUAAGAGGUGAUUGGAUUAAUCUAUUCAAGGAUUGAUAGAUUAAUGGAUUAUCAUGGGAAUGGGGCUGAUGGCUUUGUAAGAAGAUGAAGACCUGAGCUAGCAUGCUCAGCGCCCCCACCAUAUGAUGCCCUGCACUACCUUGGGAGUCUGCAGAGAGUCCCUACCAGCAAGAAGACCCUGACCUGAUGUGGCCCUCAACCUUGGACUUCUC